rnacentral:rRNA from 1 species
CGGGGUGCACCAGGCGCGAAAACUUUGCAAUACACGAAAGUGUGACAGGGCUAUCCCGAGUGCCAUCCGCUGAGGAAGGCUUUUACCCAGUCUAGAACGCUGGGGGAAUAAGGAGAGGGCAAGUCUGGUGUCAGCCGCCGCGGUAAUACCAGCUCUCCGAGUGGUGUGGAUGUUUAUUGGGCCUAAAGCAUCCGUAGCUGGCUAAGUUAGUCCCUUGUUAAAUCCACCGAAUUAAUCGUUGGAUUGCGGGGGAUACUGCUUGGCUAGGGGACGAGAGAGGCAGACGGUAUUUCCGGGGUAGGGGUGAAAUCCUAUAAUCCCGGGAAGACCACCAGUGGCGAAGGCUGUCUGCUAGAACGCGCCCGACGGUGAGGGAUGAAAGCUGGGGGAGCGAACCGGAUUAGAUACCCGGGUAGUCCCAGCUGUAAACGAUGCAGGCUAGGUGUUUGGACGGCCAUGUGCCGUUCUAGUGCCGCAGGGAAGCUGUUAAGCCUGCCGCCUGGGGAGUACGAUCGCAAGAUUGAAACUUAAAGGAAUUGG